rnacentral:rRNA from 1 species
CGGCGGACGGGUGAGGAAUACAUCGGAAUCUACUCUGUCGUGGGGGAGUAACGUAGGGAAACUUACGCUAAUACCGCAUACGACCUACGGGUGAAAGCAGGGGAUCUUCGGACCUUGCGCGAUUGAAUGAGCCGAUGUCGGAUUAGCUAGUUGGCGGGGUAAAGGCCCACCAAGGCGACGAUCCGUAGCUGGUCUGAGAGGAUGAUCAGCCACACUGGAACUGAGACACGGUCCAGACUCCUACGGGAGGCAGCAGAA